ensembl:snoRNA SNORD24 Small nucleolar RNA SNORD24
UGCAGAUGAUGUAAAGAAUAUUUGCUAUCUUAAUUAUACUGUAGACAUUCUCCCACCAAGAUCGCUGAUGCA